UAGGGAAUUUUGGUCAAUGGGCGAGAGCCUGAACCAGCCAUGCCGCGUGCAGGAAGACGGCCUUCCGGGUUGUAAACUGCUUUUACCAGGGAACAAAAAGGCCAUGCGUGGCAAAUUGCGUGUACCUGGUGAAUAAGCACCGGCUAACUCCGUGCCAGCAGCCGCGGUAAUACGGAGGGUGCAAGCGUUGUCCGGAUUUAUUGGGUUUAAAGGGUGCGUAGGCGGCCUGUUAAGUCAGGGGUGAAAUGCCGCAGCUCAACUGCGGAACUGCCUUUGAUACUGGCGGGCUUGAGUACAGACGAGGUAGGCGGAAUUUAUGGUGUAGCGGUGAAAUGCAUAGAUACCAUAAAGAACACCGAUAGCGAAGGCAGCUUACUGGACUGUUACUGACGCUGAUGCACGAAAGCGUGGGGAGCGAACAGGAUUAGAUACCCGUGUAGUCC
rnacentral:rRNA from 1 species